rnacentral:rRNA from 1 species
UACGGGGGGGGCAAGCGUUGUUCGGAAUUACUGGGCGUAAAGGGUUCGUAGGUGGCUUGUUAAGUCAGACGUGAAAUCCCUCGGCUCAACCGGGGAACUGCGUCUGAGACUGAUGAGCUCGAGUGCAGGAGAGGAACGCGGAAUUCCAGGUGUAGCGGUGAAAUGCGUAGAUAUCUGGAGGAACACCGGUGGCGAAGGCGGCGUUCUGGACUGCAACUGACACUGAGGAACGAAAGCGUGGGGAGCAAACAGG